GAAGCGGCAACAGCUCAAAUUUGAAAUCUGACCCUUGGGGUCCGAGUUGUAAUUUGCAGAGGGUGUUUCGGGCACGGUGCCGGUUUAAGUCCUUUGGAACAGGGUGUCAUAGAGGGUGAGAACCCCGUAUGUGACCGGUCGCCAAACCUAUGUGAAACCCCUUCGACGAGUCGAGUUGUUUGGGAAUGCAGCUCAAAAUGGGUGGUAAAUUUCAUCUAAAGCUAAAUAUUGGCCAGAGACCGAUAGCGCACAAGUAGAGUGAUCGAAAGAUGAAAAGCACUUUGGAAAGAGAGUCAAACAGCACGUGAAAUUGUUGAAAGGGAAGCGCUUGCGACCAGACCUGCUCGCGGGUGAUCAGCGGUGCUUUUCGCGCCGUGCACUCAUCCGCGAUCAGGCCAGCAUCGGUUCAGGCGGCCGGACAAAGACUCGGAGAAUGUAGCUCCCUCCGGGGAGUGUUAUAGCUCCUUGUGCAAUACGGCCAGCCGGGACCGAGGACCGCGCUUCGGCUAGGAUGCUGGCGUAAUGGUCGUAAGCGACCCGUCUUGAAACACGGACCAAGGAGUCUAACAUCUGUGCGAGUGUUUGGGCGUUAAACCCAUGCGCGCAAUGAAAGUGAACGUGAGGUGGGAACCCUCUCGGGGGCGCACCAUCGACCGAUCCAGAUGUCUUCGGAUGGAUUUGAGUAAGAGCACAGCUGUUGGGACCCGAAAGAUGGUGAACUAUGCCUGAAUAGGGUGAAGCCAGAGGAAACUCUGGUGGAGGCUCGCAGCGGUUCUGACGUGCAAAUCGAUCGUCAAAUUUGGGUAUAGGGGCGAAAGACUAAUCGA
rnacentral:rRNA from 1 species